GUUCGGGGGACAGGGUGACAGGUGGUGCAUGGUUGUCGUCAGCUCGUGUCGUGAGAUGUUGGGUUAAGUCCCGCAACGAGCGCAACCCUCGACCUUAGUUGCCAGCGUUCAGUUGGGCACUCUAAGGUGACUGCCGGCUAAAAGUCGGAGGAAGGUGGGGAUGACGUCAAAUCAUCAUGCCCCUUAUGACCUGGGCUACACACGUGCUACAAUGGGCGGUACAAAGGGUCGCGAACCCGCGAGGGGGAGCCAAUCCCAAAAAGCCGCUCUCAGUUCGGAUUGCAGGCUGCAGCUCGCCUGCAUGAAGCCGGAAUCGCUAGUAAUCGCGAAUCAGCAGGUCGCGGUGAAUACGUUCCCGGGCCUU
rnacentral:rRNA from 1 species